UACAGAGGUCCCGAGCGUUGUUCGGAUUCACUGGGCGUAAAGGGUGCGUAGGUGGCUUGGUAAGUUUGAUGUGAAAGCUCAGGGCUUAACCCUGAAAUGGCAUUGAAUACUGCCGGGCUGGAGGUUUGGAGGGGGGACUGGAAUUCUUGGUGUAGCAGUGAAAUGCGUAGAUAUCAAGAGGAACACCAGUGGCGAAGGCGAGUCCCUGGACAGCACCUGACACUGAGGCACGAAAGCUAGGGGAGCAAACAGG
rnacentral:rRNA from 1 species